AAUAUCCCUUAGGAGGCUCCACUGCAGGGAGACAGACAAUAAAGAAGAUAAGUAUAGUGUAUGCCGGGCGGUAGUAAGUGCUAAAGAGAAAAAUUAAGCAGGGAAAGUGGGUGGUAAUUUUAGAUAUGCCAUAAACUUAUUUUCACACUGUCAGGAAAUGCUUGUUCUGAUUUUCACUUCUUUUUAAAUAAUCCUGACCCCUAAACCGAUGAACAUGUGGACAGGCAAGUUCCUCUUUACCGCUGCAGAGAUGUAUUUUAUUUUAACCUGAGCAUCACCUGAGAGUCUGGAGGCCUGGAACCAAAUGUCAGAGCACUGAAGGAGCCCGAUGACAGCGCAUAUUACAGCCACACUGUGGCUUUGGCAAUUUUCACAGGAACCAGACACAAUACCUCCGCUUGGUGAUAAUUCAAACCUCCUUCUGAGCCAAUCUUUCAACAAAUCUUGCAGCAAACAGCCUAUGAUUUUUUUGAACUUUAACCUCGAUUAGCAGUCCUUCCAAGACAGGUUUUCUCGGGCUGGCUGGUGGCGCUCAGAGCGGAGCACGCGGACCCCCUUCAUGACAACGGCAGGACCGAUGCACGGCGCUCACACGAGUGUGUGCCAACCCCUUUGCUAAGUGCCUUCCAAAUACCAGCUGACUUCAUCUUCACAACAACCCUCUGGCAUAGGAGGUCCUUGAUCUCCAUUUCACAAACGCAGAUAGGCUAAGAGGUUGACCUGCCCAAGGUCACACAGCUGACAGACCUGGAAGCACAGGUCCGAGACCUCGGCAGCGUCUCAUCCCACAGAGUCACGCUCACACGCUCAACGCGCCAGAGCGUGUGCUCGGAAAUCAGAGACCCGAACUCCAGCCCUGGUGGGGCAGGACUGAAGCGGAGUGUCCUCGAGUGUGACACGGAACAAUAGCAGGCGAGCCGGCGGUGGUGGCAUGGAAUGGGGAGCACCGCUGUCCAGCAGCGCGUGGGCCGCGCUACCAGCCCUCUGGUCCAGUCCCGCCCUCCUGCGGCGUGUCACUGGGGCGGCCACACA